rnacentral:rRNA from 1 species
GAGGAAUAUUGGUCAAUGGCCGAGAGGCUGAACCAGCCAAGUCGCGUGAAGGAAGAAGGAUCUAUGGUUUGUAAACUUCUUUUAUAGGGGAAUAAAGUGGAGGACGUGUCCUUUUUUGUAUGUACCCUAUGAAUAAGCAUCGGCUAACUCCGUGCCAGCAGCCGCGGUAAUACGGAGGAUGCGAGCGUUAUCCGGAUUUAUUGGGUUUAAAGGGUGCGUAGGUGGUGAUUUAAGUCAGCGGUGAAAGUUUGUGGCUCAACCAUAAAAUUGCCGUUGAAACUGGGUUACUUGAGUGUGUUUGAGGUAGGCGGAAUGCGUGGUGUAGCGGUGAAAUGCAUAGGUAUCACGCAGAACUCCGACUGCGAAGGCAGCUUACUAAACCAUAACUGACACUGAAGCACGAAAGCGUGGGGAUCAAAC